GAUAAACGCUGGCGGUAUGCUUAACACAUGCAAGUCGAACGGACUCUUCGGAGUUAGUGGCGGACGGGUGAGUAACGCGUGAGAAUCUGGCUUUGGGUUCGGGACAACCACUGGAAACGGUGGCUAAUACCGGAUGUGCCGAGAGGUAAAAGAGAAAUUGCCUGAAGAUGAGCUCGCGUCUGAUUAGCUAGUUGGUGAGGUAAAGGCUCACCAAGGCAGCGAUCAGUAGCUGGUCUGAGAGGAUGACCAGCCACACUGGGACUGAGACACGGCCCAGACUCCUACGGGAGGCAGCAGUGGGGAAUUUUCCGCAAUGGGCGAAAGCCUGACGGAGCAAUACCGCGUGAGGGAAGAAGGCUCUUGGGUUGUAAACCUCUUUUCUUAGGGAAGAACAAAAUGACGGUACCUAAGGAAUCAGCAUCGGCUAACUCCGUG
rnacentral:rRNA from 1 species